UGUAUAUUACUAAAGUGCGAUUUAUUUAAUAUGUACAAUAUAAGACAAUAUAUAACGUUUUGCUAUGAUUUUAUAUGUCAGGAAAUGUAUGGGUGCAUAUUUUUGAACUCCCCUUUCUGUGACCCCAUUUCAACAAGUUGGAAUUCCCCCUUGUGUUCUUUAACAAUGUAAAUGAGUUGUGUGCACUUAGGACAAUUAUACAAUCAUAUGAAGUAGUAAGAAGACAACAUUGCUGGACUACACGCUAAUAAAUAUUACUGCACAUCGGAGCGUUAGUGUUUGUAUCCAUUGUUUACAUCCAGAUCUAUUUUUAGGAUACAUAAUAAAAUGAUCGGCGGGUCAAUGGAAAUUUACCCACAAAGUCAAGCUGCAAACAUGUAAAGGAACGUUAACGUUAGAAGGAAUGUGCUGGUGAAGUGACAUUUCUACUGAAAGUCUAGCUAAGAUCGACAUACAGUGGUGAAUUUAAUUGAAAACUGCAGAAAAUAUAUAAAGACAUUUUGAUUCCAGAACUGCCGAGGAUAAAUUUCUCCAAAACAAUGCAAGCCAUGUGAUUCAGAGAAGGUUAUUGCAUAGAAAUAUUUAUAAUUUUGGGAUCCAGACUUGGUAUUAAGAAAUCCAAUAUCAUCUAUACCCACCUCGGAUCUCGCCACCGAGAGAUGGAAUCAGUAGGCUUGAUUUUACUGAUUCCAUUCUGUGUUUGUUUUCUGUUAUUAUUCAUAGUGUGUUGUUUUGCGGACGAAAUCAAGAAAAUGUGUCGUAUGCCAAGCCAACUUCCGCAACAUUAUAUUCCAAGUGAUCGCGCCGAAGCCGAUCGAGAACGCCGUAGGCGUGAAAGACGGCGCCAGCGCCAAAUUCGAGCAGGUGUUCAUGGACAAAGGCCGUCAGAAUCGUCGGACAUCGAGUCAUUAAUGGGUUCACGCAGUCGCAAUUCAUCGGGUAGUUCAGGGUACAGUUCAGAAGUCAGUCCAUUCCUCGUUUUAGCGGUAGUUACGUCAGAGGUGCAGCCAAAUGGGGAAGUGGUUACGUCACACGUGGACGCACAGAGUUUGUUGCAGUCGGAGGCAUCAAAUGGACAAGGGCUUAGUGCAUCACAGACAAUCAACUACAGUAUAGAAGACAAAGAGAAAGUAUAGCAUACCACGAGUGUUCACUUUCAUCAUGGAUUGUAAUUUUAUAUAUCUGUUGUUACGCUUACUUUUGUGAUAUAAAAUAUCAGAACGAGGUACGUUUUUCGUGACUUGCCUGUGAACGCAAAUUCCAUUAUGUUUUAAUUUCUACAUGCUCAAAACGUUAUGUAUCGAACAAAUAAUUUUAAAAACACGUGUUCCUUUUUACCCAUGGUACUAAAUUGGUGUUAAUUAAAUAACGUGGAAUUACAAAUUGAAUCGUCGCAUAUUAUAAAAGCCUAACCAAUCUUAGGACAGGUGAGCGAUCUCAUCCUCGGGCACCAUUCUCUCCUGUUAGAUUCCAUUGACUAAUAGAACCCGUAAACUGUCAUCACAUAUUCCUUAGUUCCAACUUUCAAAAGCCAUUGAUACAUACGUACUUAUAUUCUUUAGAUUGUCCUUAUGCAGUAAAAACCCCGUCUCAUUUCAGACGUUACAUGAAUACUAUUUCUCGUACACAUUCUAUGAGGUACUAGUCAUAUCGCAAUAUUUCACUUAUGCUGUUUGAAAAAUUUGUUGUUAGAAAUUUCAGUCAAGAAUUUAGGCAUAAUACACGUGUUGAGCAUUUUGAACCAAUUUUAGUCAAGAAAUUUAGGCAUAAUACACGUGUUGAGCAUUUGGAACCUACCGCGUGUUCAGUGACACAUCUGGAUGUUUUUUUUUUUUUCAUAUUUACAAUCAGCAGAAGGGUAUUUAAUGAGAUUAAUCAUUUUAACAGCCAAUUUAAGUUUCUCUGUACUUUUAUUUUAUUUUCAAGAAUCUCAGUUUUUAUGCAGAUUUAAAUGUUUGUCUCCUUCAUUUGUAUUUUUGUUUAUGCCAUACAAUUCAAUAUUUUGAGAACAAUAUACAUAUUGGAACGUUUUACCACCAUGCAUAUAAUUUUAAUUAUUUGUACAAUCAAAACGCAUUUAAAAAUUUAAAUUAUAAAUAUGAGUCUUUGCAUGAUGUAUGAACAAUCAAAGUUGAUGUUGAUUUGUUUCCCGGUAAAAGCACAAUAAAUGCAACCGUUACAGGUA